CGCGAGCGAGUCACCGAAGAUGACCGCGGUCUUCUCCGGACCGGCGGCGGCGUUGCCGUACACGCAGUGCUCGGUGUUCUGGAUCGCGUCC
rnacentral:tRNA from 1 species